CUGGCGCGCAGGCUUAACACAUGCAAGUCGAGCGCCCCGCAAGGGGAGCGGCAGACGGGAGAGUCACACGUGGGAACAUACCUUUUGGUUCGGAACAACCCAGGGAAACUUGGGCUAAUACCGGAUAAGCCCUAACGGGGAAAGAUUUAUCGCCGAAAGAUUGGCCCGCGUCUGAUUAGCUAGUUGGUGAGGUAACGGCUCACCAAGGCGACGAUCAGUAGCUGGUCUGAGAGGAUGAUCAGCCUCACUGGGACUGAGACACGGCCCAGACUCCUACGGGAGGCAGCAGUGGG
rnacentral:rRNA from 1 species